AGGACGAACGCUGGCGGCGUGCUUAACACAUGCAAGUCGAGCGGUAAGGCCUUUCGGGGUACACGAGCGGCGAACGGGUGAGUAACACGUGGGUGAGUCUGCCCUGCACUCUGGGAUAAGCCUGGGAAACGUGGGUCUAAUACCGGAUAUGACCUGCUCUCGCAGUGGGGGUGGUGGAAA
rnacentral:rRNA from 1 species